rnacentral:rRNA from 1 species
AACGAACGCUAGUGGUGCGCUUAACACAUGCAAGUCUAACAAUUUCUUUGUAAAUUGUGGCGAACGGGUGAGUAAUAUUUAGAAAUCUGCCUUAAGGUAGGGGAUAAGUACCCUUUUGGGGGUAUAAUACCGUAUAUUGAAAGUAAUUUUAUUACGCCUUAAGAUGAGUCUAAACAAGAUUAGGUAGUUGGUGGGGUAAAAGCUUACCAAGCCGAAGAUCUUUAGCGGGUUUAAGAGGAUGAUCCGCCACACUGGAACUGAGACACGGUCCAGACUUCAUAAUGAAGGCAGCAGUGAGAAAUCUUGGACAAUGGAUGAAAAUCUGAUCCAGCGAUACCACAUGGGUGAUGAAGGCUCUUUUGUCGUAAAGCCCUUUUCUUUGUGAUGAUAAUGACAUUAGCAUUGGAAUAAGUCCCGGCUAAUCUCG